CCUUUGACGUUAGCGGCGGACGGGUGAGUAACACGUGGGUAACCUACCUAUAAGACUGGGAUAACUUCGGGAAACCGGAGCUAAUACCGGAUAAUAUUUCGAACCGCAUGGUUCGAUAGUGAAAGGUGGUUUUGCUAUCACUUAUAGAUGGACCCGCGCCGUAUUAGCUAGUUGGUAAGGUAACGGCUUACCAAGGCGACGAUACGUAGCCGACCUGAGAGGGUGAUCGGCCACACUGGAACAGAGACACGGUCCAGACUCCUACGGGAGGCAGCAGCA
rnacentral:rRNA from 1 species